CUAGCGACUUCAGAGUUUGAUCCUGGCUCAGGACGAACGCUGGCGGCGUGCCUAACACAUGCAAGUCGAACGGAGUUGUUUCUACGGAGAUAACUUAGUGGCGAACGGGUGAGUAACGCGUGAGAAACCUGCCUUUCAGUGGGGGACAACAGUUGGAAACGACUGCUAAUACCGCAUAACGUAUCGAGGGGGCAUCCUCUUGAUACCAAAGCUUUAUGUGCUGAAAGAUGGUCUCGCGUCUGAUUAGCUAGUUGGUGAGGUAACGGCUCACCAAGGCGACGAUCAGUAGCCGGUCUGAGAGGAUGAACGGCCACAUUGGGACUGAGAUACGGCCCAG
rnacentral:rRNA from 1 species